UACGUAGGGUGCGAGCGUUGUCCGGAAUUACUGGGCGUAAAGGGUUCGUAGGUGGCCACUUAAGUCAGACGUGAAAUCCCUCAGCUUAACUGGGGAACUGCGUCUGAUACUGGAUGGCUUGAGUGCAGGAGAGGAAUGCGGAAUUCCAGGUGUAGCGGUGAAAUGCGUAGAUAUCUGGAGGAACACCGGUGGCGAAGGCGGCAUCCUGGACCGGCAUUGACGCUGAGGCGCGAAAGCUAGGGGAGCAAACGGG
rnacentral:rRNA from 1 species